GAUGAAGAACGCAGCGAAAUGCGAUAAGUAGUGUGAAUUGCAGAAUUCAGUGAAUCAUCGAAUCUUUGAACGCACAUUGCGCCCUUUGGUAUUCCAAAGGGCAUGCCUGUUCGAGCGUCAUUUGUACCCUCAAGCUUUGCUUGGUGUUGGGCGUCUUGUCUCUAGCUUUGCUGGAGACUCGCCUUAAAGUAAUUGGCAGCCGGCCUACUGGUUUCGGAGCGCAGCACAAGUCGCACUCUCUAUCAGCAAAGGUCUAGCAUCCAUUAAGCCUUUUUUUCAACUUUUAACCUCGGAUCAGGUAGGGAUACCCGCUGAACUUAAGCAUAUCAAUAAGCGGAGGA
rnacentral:misc_RNA from 1 species